UACGGGGGGGGCGAGCGUUGUUCGGAAUCACUGGGCGUAAAGGGCGCGUAGGCGGCCCGCACAAGUCUGCGGUGAAAACCCCCGGCUUAACCGGGGGCCGGCCGUGGAAACUGUCGGGCUAGAGGCCGGGAGAGGGCAGCGGAAUUCCCGGUGUAGCGGUGAAAUGCGUAGAUAUCGAGAGGAACACCUGCGGCGAAGGCGGGUUGCUGGGCUGACACUGACGCUGAUGCGCGAAAGCCAGGGGAGCGAACGGG
rnacentral:rRNA from 1 species